rnacentral:ncRNA from 2 species
CACGCCGUGCAUGUCCCAGGUGCCCGCCCGGCAUUGCGCCGGAGGGUUCAACGGGAAUGAGGUGGGCCGGUUCUCCGGCGAUUCCUCAGCUGCCCCCGCAACGGUAAGCGAGUGCGGGUCCGCCACACUGCCACUGGGCGAUGAGCCCGGGAAGGCGGCGGAUCAAGACUUGCGAGCCCGGAUACCGGCCUCGGACAGACCAGUUCG